CUGGGGCUGGGGAGACAGAUGUGUUGGCCGUCUGGCCUCAGAGGAGGGAUGCCUGAGGGAUGCAGAGUAGACAUCUGGCAGGACCAGCCAGCAGUCACUGGCCUUGGUUUGGAUGCCAGCCUCUUGGGGGGCAGUGCCUGCACCCCUGGACUAGUGGGGUAUCCCCUUUGUGCUCCGACUAUGCCAGUGCAUCCUCCAUCACAGUAGCUGUCUCUGGACUGCAGCUGGCUCCAGGCUGGAGGAAAUCUCAAUGGGGGCUAACGAUGAUGUUGCACCAAGACCUGAAGGAAGUGAGUGGCCAUGCCAAGAGGUGGAGAACUCCAGACAGUGGGCAUGCAAGGUACAAAGGCCGUGGGGUGGGAAUGAAAGUGUCUGGUUCCAGGAACAGCAAGGAGGUGGGUGGACUGGACCGGGGUAAGUGAAGGUCAGAUGGAAGGGAAAGUGAGUGGGAGGUUACAGGGGUCACACAGGGCCUCCUAGGCUGGGUGGGGAGGGGAGCAGGUUUCACCCUGAGGGCUUUGGGGAGAAGGGUACAGGAAACAGUAACAACCCCAGUGGGAUCCCCUGUGUGGAGACCCUUCCCUGGGGUCUCAGUGUCCCAUUUCACUUUCCCUCUUUUCGGCCCACUGCCCUGCCUCAUAUUACUUGGAUCCACAAUCAACACCCAUGGAAGCAGCAGUCAAGAAAUCAAAAGACUCAUUGCAUUGGGCAAAUCGGCUGCAAAAGACCGCUUUAAAGUAUUGAAAAGCAAAGAUGUCACCUUGAGGAUUAAAGUGCACCUGACCCAAACCAUGGUGUUUUUGCCUCAUACGCAUGUGAAAGCUGGACAAUGAAUAAGGAAGACUGAAGAAGAGUUGGCCCCUUUGAACUGUGGUGCUGGCGAAGAAUACUGAAUAUACCAUGGACUGCUAAAAGAACGAACAAAUCUCAGAGGACGUACAAACAAAAUGCUCCUUAGAAGCAAGGACGGUGAGACUAUGUCUCACAUAAUUUGGACAUGUUAUCAAGAGGGGUCAGUCCCUGGAGAGGGACAUCAUGCUUGGUAAAACAGAGGGUCAGCAAGGAAGAGAAAGACCCUCAAUGAGAUGGACUGACACGGUGGCUACAACAACGGGCUCAGGCAUGGUAACAGUUGUGAGGAUGGCGCAAGACUGGGGAGUAUUUUGUUCUGUUGUGCACAGGGUCGCUAUGAGUUAGAACCAACUUGACAGCACCUAACAACAGUUCUGCCUCUGCCCAUGGUGGGGGGUCACGGCCACCUGUUACCCAACCCCUCACUGCUUCCCCUCCUACCUCCCCCCACCCCACUGUUUCUCAACCUGUUUUCAGUCCUACUUCCUCACUCUCACUUCUGGGCCUGAUGAAACCGUUGGGGGAAACUUUACUUUCAGUGGUUUCAGCCACACCUCUCAGUGGUUUCAAUUCCCUCCUCCGGUUCAGCACCACAGGGCCCGCAGAGCCUGAGGUGGGCCUGACAUUGAGGCCCUGGGCAGCCACCAGCUGCUCCACAGGCACCUUUGUAUAUUCAAGGCUUUGAGAAGGCCCGCUCCUCAGGACACAGUGGUCACAAGUGACCCCAUGUGUGCAGUGGGAGCUGGCCAAGGGGGUGUGGAGAGGGUGGAGUUGUGUCCCCCAAGAAGAUAUGCCCAUGUCCUAAUCCCUGGGACCUGUGAACAUGAUCUUGUUUGGACAUACGGUCUGUGCAGGUGUGAUUAAUGGUCUCAAGGUGAAAUCAACCCCGGUUUAAGGUGGACCCUAAAUCCGAUGGCCAGUGUUCUUAUAAGAGACAGAAGAAGAGAAGACACAGAGGAGAGGGCCAUGUGACAGUGGAGGCAGAGACAGGAGUGAUGCGCCACAAGCCCAGGACUGCCUGGAGCCACCAGGAGCUGGAGAAGACAAGGAAGGAGCCUCCAAAGGGGCACAGCCCUGGUGACACUCUUAUUUUUGACUGUGGUUCUAAGUGCCCCAGCAUGUGGUUCUCUGUUCUAGUGGCCUCAGGACACUCAAAUGAGGGGCCCAUUCCCCAGGGAUGGUGCAGGCUGAGACCUCUGUCUAGGAGACACACCGGUCAAGGGUCAGGGCCUCAACUUGGGCACCCGCAGUCCACUGCCCACCAAGGACCAAAAGACAGAUGAGACUCCGACCAAUGUUUCUUUUAAUAUCCAGUUUGCUCAAAGUCAUGGCCCAUGAGUUAAGCCACAACCGAGCCCUCAUGGCUUCUGGAAGUGCCACGUGGCUUUGCUCAAACACACUCAGGAGCAUGGUGGCGAGUGGCGCCCAGCUCUGGAAGGCCCCUGCCACUCAGGUACAUGUGGUCCCAACUGUGGUGUCUGCCCAGUGGGCUACAAUGUGGAGUGCUUCUCGAAGGGCACAGUCAGGAGGCGGGCGGCCGCCUCGUCCAGGAACCAGCACAGCUUCCCCGUGUGCGGCUGCACCAGAGCGGCGGGGAGCGGGCUCUCCUCGUGGUCUUCCAGGAUGCGCUGCGGUGGGAGGAGCAGGGUCAGGAGUCGGGGCCCUGGUGGCAGCCACCCACUUGGUGCCCCCAGCGCUCCAGAACCCCCAAUGGACAUGAUUCUCGAACCCUGGAGACUGGAUACCACCCUACUUGGCUGUCCUUGUUGUUAUGUGCCUUAAAGUCAAUUCUGACUCAUGGCAACCCCAUCUAUGCCGUGUAGAACUGCUCCAUUGAAUUUUCAAGGCUGUGACCUUUUGGAAGUAGACUGCCAGGCCUGUCUUCUGAGGCACUUCUAGGUGAGUUUAAACCACCAACCUUUUGGCCAGUAGUUGAGUGCUUAACAAUAUGCACCACCCAGGGACUCCCCAGCUGUCCCAGCUUCAAAUAAUUAGAAGGACACAACAGUUUAAUUCCAAACCAAAAACUACACCUGUUGCUGUUGGGUUGAUUCACGGCGGACCCAUGUGUUAGAGCAGAAUCACUUCAUAAGAGUUUUCUUGGCUGCAACCUUCACAGAAGAUUGCCAGGCCUUUAUUCUGUGAUGCCCCUGAGUGGACUUGAUCUACCAACCUUAUAGCUAGUAACCGAGCACAAACAACUGUUUGUGCCACCCUGGGACGUCUCAGUUUAAUUCAGGGGUCGGCAGACCUUUUCUUCAAAGGGCCAGAUCGUCAGUAUUUUUGGCUCUGCAGACUAUAUGGUCUCUGUUGUAACCAUUCGAUACUGCCGUUGUAGUCAAAAGCAGCUGUGGACAAUAUGUGAACAAAUGGUCUUGGCCGUGUGUCAGUGGAACUUUGUUUAUCGACACUGAAUUUGCCUUUGAGUGCAGCUCUGGCCUCAUCUCAUCGAUUUCAUCUCAUGAUCAUUAAUUCCUAAAUAGCUUGUACUUGCAGUUUUGAUCUUCCCUUUGACCUAAGAAUUACUGAAUUAUCUUGAGAUCUGAUGUUUCUGGCACAGUGACACCUGGGGUCAUAUUCUACCCUGAGGCCCUGGGCCAGGGCCCAUGUGUCCAUGACAUUCUUAGAAACAGGGCCCUCGGCCAUUACCUUCAGAACAGCUGCCUUGCCUUCUCCAGUUGCCACAAAGAUGACAGUUCGGGCUGCGUUCAGCACAGGAAGUGUGAGGGUCACUCGCUGAGGUGGUGGCUUUGGGGAGUCGCUGAUGGGAGCCACAAUCUUCUCCUUCUCCUGUGGGAGGGAACCCCGGGAUGCAGGCAGAAGCACAGCGUCGCUUCUACUUCCCGGGCAUUUUUUCCAUGCCAGGCAUGGUCCAUACAUCAUCCCCCCACCCCAUCUCAACCAGCCAUGGUAGCUGAUUCAAGGCCGCCAUUUUCAGACGGGUAAACAAGGGAGGCUCAGGAGGGUUCAGCGUCUUGUCCUGGGUUGCCCCGUAAGGUUGGCUGGCAGAGACUGGCUCAAACCCCAGCUCAAAGCAUCACCCAGCAGGCAGGCAGCCCUCCCUCCAGCAGCCACAGGUGGCCAAGGCUGGGGCUUGGACUUGAGGGGUCUGUGUCAUGCUCACCUGCAGGAGUGGGUGGUCUGGGAAGAGUGAGCAUGUGUGGCCAUCAGGCCCAAUCCCCAGGAUGAGCAGGUCGAAGACUGGGAUGGAGUCUCCUUGGAAGGCCUGGGUUGGGGAGAGGAUGGCACAGACAGGGUAUUAAGGAGGGGCUCAGAGGGCACCAAGGGACAGUUGUCAGAAACAGAAAUGCAAGUGGCUUUAACCCAGUGCUAUGGAUUGAACUGUAUCCCCCCAAAAUAUGUGCUGGAAUCCUAACCCUGUACCUGCGGAUGCUAUCCCAUUUGGAAUAGGGUUUUCUUUGUUAUAUUAAUGAGGCCCUAUCAGUGUAAUCUUAAACCAAUCACUUUUGAGAUAUAAAAGGAGCAGAUGAGGUACAGAAGCAAGGAAGCACAGAUGGGGGCAGACAGGCGCCACCUGGAGAUGGUCAAGGAACUGAGGGACAGAAGCUGAAAAGAGACAAGGUCCUUCCCCCAGAGCAAACAAAGAGAACCUUCCCCUAGAGCCAGUGCCCUGAGUUCAGACUUCUAGCCUCUUGAACUGUGAGAAAAUUAAUUUCUGUUCCUUAAAGCCACCCACUUGUGGUAUUUCUGUCACAGCAGCACUAGACAACUAAGACACCCAGGAAGGAACGCUCAGCCUCACCUGUGAUAAAAGACACUCUAAUCUAUGAAUGGAAACCCUGGUGGCGUAGUGAUUAAGUGCUAUGGCUGCUAACCAAGAGGUCAGCAGUUCAAAUCUGCCAGGCGCUCCUUGGAAACUCUAUGGGGCAGUUCUACCCUGUCCUAUAGGGUCGUUAUGAGUCAGAAUCGAUUCGACGGCAGUGGGUUUUUUUUUAAUCUACGAACUUCUGCUUUUCACCUGUCGGGCCAGCCAGGAGUCACAGAUCUGGGGACACAACUGUUGCAAAGCUAGGGACCCAGGCCCACUACCAGGUUAUCAGACCAGCUUGGAUGCCCCAGGGCAGGGCUGUGGACUCUGGGAAGGCAGAAGCUUUCCAAGAGGGGAAGCCUCAAAGGGGAAGAGGCCUGCUGAUGGCUCCCAGGAGAGUUUCUGCGGGUGACCCCUAUACAAUGCCACAUACAGGUAACCGACAUCCUGGGCAUGGCUGAUGUGGGGGCAUGGCUGAUGUGUGGGCGUAGCCUCCCUUGGGCCCCCUCAGAACUCACCUCUCUCAGCUUCUUGGCAUAGUCCUCGGCUGCCUCCUCCACGGGCAGCAAGGGAUUAAUGGUGAUCACCUGGCCUUCUGGGAUAGGCAGCCUGGACAGCAGCUGGGCCUGCCAGACAGAGGGACAAAAUCACAGCCACCACUCACCCUCUGUGCAGGAGCCCUCACAGAGGAGCUGCUGGACUCCACCAGGCGCCACCUCGUGGACAGUCUUCCCAUUACACCUUUCUACGUGGCUUUGCGUUAAUGCGCUGACCGGGUUUUGCUUAUUAAUUUCACUAUCUGGCCUCUCCUCUCUCAGAGCCCUGUGAGGGCGGAGCCCGCUCUGCCAAGCUCCCCACUGCGUCCCCAGCGCCCAGCACGGGGUCCCACCUACAAGGAGUGCUCAACAUCUGAGCAACUUUCUCUUUUAUUGUUUUGUUGGCUUUUGUUUUUUUCAACCUAAACAAGUACAUUUAUCUUAAAGUGUUUCUAAAAAAGUCUUAAAAAGUUGUGCAAAGUGACAAGAAAGGAACAAAAUUCUGGUUUUCUAAUUUGGCCCAUAGGGAGGUCGCUGAAGAAGUAGGACGCUGAGCAUGCUCUGUCUCGAUGUGUCCCCAGGUGUGGGUAGGACAGGUUCAAGUCCCAACUCAGUUGUGACUCGCUGAGUGACUUGGGCAGGUGAGUGGUCCUCUCUCAACCUCAUAGGGUCCCCAUCUGUAAAAAUGGCUUGGUGCUGGCGUCUGACCUCCUCUAACUUCACACGGGGAGAGGACAAUCAAGAUCAACUGCCCAAGGCUGAUUCCCAUGAGGCCGAGGUAGACACACCUCUUCUCUCCAACCUUUUUAACCAAUACUGACGCCAACCAUCACUCCCACACACUCUACUUCUCUGCUGGGUUCAAUAAUUCAUUGCAAUGGCCACACAGAACUCACAGACAGUACUCACAAUUAUGGUUUUUUUCUUGGGGCGGGGGGAAAUUAACAGGUUACACUUCAGGAUCGGAAACAACUCAGGAUACAGUUUUUUGAUCAGGACAGCCUCUCCUCAGCCGUGCCUGCAAGCAGGCUUCUCUCCGGCCCUUAGCCCUCAGCCUGGCCUCUGUCCUGAUAGGGCAAAUGUUACAAAGCUCUUUAGCUCUGCCAAAAAGUGACCAGAGGCAUCCUACUCUGCCAUUAAGCCUAAAGGCACUCAGCUCUCUAGCUCAGUGGGUCGGCAAGCCUAGCUCCACCAACAAGUAGCCAGAGGCACCCGACUCUGACAGCAAGUCCCCUGGCCAAAGGCGCUCAGCUCUCUUGCUCUGUGGCCUGGGAAGCCCACCGCACCAUCUCCUGCUGGUCUUCUGGUUCUGCUGCCUCUACUGCUGCCAUUUCUCUGCUGUUGCUUCUCACCAUCUCUGUCUCCAGGGUCUAGGAGGUUCUCAGGGCAGGGAUCCUGGGUCCAAAGGAUGUGCUCCACUCCUAGAUCUUCUUUCUUGGUGGUAGUGAAGUCCCCCACGCUUCCUGCCUAGUGGGAUGGCAAAACUGACCAAUCUCCUAAUUAGCGUUCCAUACCCGCACAAGGGUACCAUGCACCUUGUCUGCAUUAUUAGCAAACUGAACAAUCCCUUUGGUGGGCCACAAGCACCUUAUUUGCAUAGCCCCACCCAAUCAUUUGGUGAGAGUUACAAAACCAUGGAGAAAGGCUGUAUAAAAGCCAUCUAUCACACUGCAUCAUCUGUGAAACAGGAGUAACAGCAGCCCUGCUUCAUAGGCUACAGUGGGGACUCAUGAGAUGACACGGAUGAAGUGAUCAGCACCAGGCUGGCAUUUGGCAAAUGUUCCUUCUUAGGAAAAACAAAAGCACCGCUGGGUCACGCCCAGAACAAGGUAAACCCUUGUGGAACCUAGAACUGCUUCAGUGCACGAACACCCAACGUUGCUUCUCCACCAGUUUCCUGGACUCUGAGCUCCUGCCAGGCCCUCUCUACCGGGACCGUGGGUCCCCCUGCAUCUACCUGCCUGACACCUCUGAGGGUCCCCUCCAUCCUGCCCCCAUUUCCUUGCUAGGCUCAUCUUUGCUGCCAGGAGCAAGAGAACACCUUCCUCAAGGUCAGUACCAGGGGCAGGGACCAUGCCUGGCUCAGGUGACCUGUGGCUCCUGGCCAAGCUCGCCCCUCCCUACCUUCCCCAGGUUAUUCUCGUUCCAGACAGGAGGGGGGCUGACUCAUAUAGCCGGGCACCCAGGGCAGGCCACAGCUCCUCCAGCCUAUUUCCCUACUUGUAAAACACGGUAGGUCCCGGACUGUGUUGUUGUUACUGUCAUGGAGUCGUUUCCGACUCAUAGCCACCUCUGUACAACACAAGGAAACACUGCUCUGUCCCGCGCCAUUCUCACAAUCUUCGCUAUGUUUGGACCCAUCGUUGCAGCCACUGUAUCAAUUCGUCUGACUCUACAGAGGCCAAAAUAACAAGACCAGACACCUUAAGAGCAGCAGCCGACUUGACCACCACCGAGAACUCAGGGAAACUGAGGCCCAGGCUGCACGGGGAGGCGUGGCCGGUGGAACACUCGACACCCCCGGCCUUUGACUCCGCACAAUGCAAGGCACAGGCUGGAGCAGGACGCCAGACAAACUUCUCCAGGUCGCUGGACCGGCCAAUCUGUCUCACCGCCAGCCCUUUCCCACGCCAUGCCCUCUUCCUACACAUAGGAUAAAACAAAGGUGGGAUUUCUAAGCCCGCACAGCCCUCCCAGGGAAAGAGGGUGGCGUAGCCUAAGUGGGACUUUACGGCAGCCAGACGACCGCUCCCAGGCUUCUACACAGAUAAAAACAGAGGAUAAGGUUUGACCCUCGGCAACCCCCGUCGCAAGGAUUUAGGCGGUGGCCAGGGCCCGCUCAGCAAGACCCCAGGUGGUCCGCGUACCUAGGAUUUAGGGAGAGGGCAGUGUGCAACCCGAUAGGACCACAGCGGCGUAGGCGGAGUAUAGGCGGUAGGCGUGGCCCACCUCACUACAACGCCCGGAAGCCUCCGCAACCUGGGUUUAGGCGGUGGGCGUGGUCCGCCCUGUCAUGAUCCCUGGCGGCCCCCGUAGCUCUCACCCGGUAGAGGCCGUACGUGCUCUCGGCGUGAUCGAAGGGCACGAGGCGCUCGUCGCAGAAACCCAGCGUCCAGCGCGCGAGGCUGGCGGGCCCGGCGGGGGCAGCAGCGGCGGGCAGCUCGCGGGCCAGCAUCGAGACAAGGCUGCCGCCUGACAGGCCGAGCGCGAAGCGGGCGCGGGCUCCCGCCAGACAGGACUCUGCCCGCUGAGCCACCAGCUGCGCCAGCGAAGCGCCUAGCUCCUGCGGGCUCGAGAAGACUGAAAUGAAGCCCGGGGCUGGCGCGGCCAUGGCGACGGCGGCGAAGGGGAGGCGGAAGCACUCCCGCAGCCCCCAGUGCGCCUGCGCUAGGGCAGGCCCAGUCGCACGGUUCUCGGAACGCGGAUGUGAUCGGUCAUUGUGCAUGCGCAUUCCAAGAUGUGAAGCCGUGCCAGUGCUGGGCCGCCCGUUCUCUUACUCUAUUUUCGUUUUAUUAAUUCUGCUGUGUCUGACCCGACUGCUGGGUUGGGCAGGUGGAGCCGGACACAAACGCUCUCAACCUCGUGGCGUCAGGAUAGGGCCAGAGGAGGACCUCGAGCUGAGGGAGCCGGAGCGGGGGAUGCGGAAUGAGGGAGGGAGGUGCGUUGGGCUUUGAAAUACCCGCACCUUCUGACGUAUUUGUUUAUGAUUUGUCGUCUUUCGAUUUCUUAGGAACAUAAGCUCCAGCAUGGGUGCACAACUUAAAGAAUGUAAUCGAUGUCACUGAAUUGUACCUGUAGAAGUUAUUGAGUUGGUGUAUGCUUUGUCACGUGUAUUUUCACCACAAUAAAAAUAAAUUCCAUGA